UUAAAAAGCUCGUAGUUGAAUUUCGGGAUCAAUAUGUCGGUCGUGCCUUCGGUACGUACUGGCAUCAUUGGUUUCUCCCUUCUGACAAACCAUGAUGUCAUUAAUUUGGUGUUAUGGGGAGUUAGGACUGUUACUUUGAAAAAAUUNGAGUGUUUAAAGCAGGCAUUAGCUUGAAUACAUUAGCAUGGAAUAAUGAAAUAGGACGUUUGACCCUAUUUUGUUGGUUUUUAGGAUCGACGUAAUGAUUAAUAGGGAUAGUUGGGGG
rnacentral:rRNA from 1 species